UUCAUAUUUUGUCCAAGAAUA
rnacentral:piRNA from 1 species